rnacentral:rRNA from 1 species
GAUGAACGCUGGCGGCGUGCCUAAUACAUGCAAGUCGAGCGAACAGACGAGGAGCUUGCUCCUCUGACGUUAGCGGCGGACGGGUGAGUAACACGUGGAUAACCUACCUAUAAGACUGGGAUAACUUCGGGAAACCGGAGCCAAUACCGGAUAAUAUAUUGAACCGCAUGGUUCAAUAGUGAAAGACGGUUUUGCUGUCACUUAUAGAUGGAUCCGCGCCGCAUUAGCUAGUUGGUAAGGUAACGGCUUACCAAGGCAACGAUGCGUAGCCGACCUGAGAGGGUGAUCGGCCACACUGGAACUGAGACACGGUCCAGACUCCUACGGGAGGCAGCAGUAGGGAAUCUUCCGCAAUGGGCGAAAGCCUGACGGAGCAACGCCGCGUGAGUGAUGAAGGUCUUCGGAUCGUAAAACUCUGUUAUUAGGGAAGAACAAAUGUGUAAGUAACUAUGCACGUCUUGACGGUACCUAAUCAGAAGGCCACGGCUAACUACGUG